rnacentral:misc_RNA from 1 species
UCCGAGUUGACCCCGGCGGUCUCCCACGAGUCCCCACCAUUACGUGCUGGCAACGUAGGACAAGGGUUGCGCUCGUUGCGGGACUUAACCCAACAUCUCACGGCACGAGCUGACGACAGCCAUGCAGCACCUGUGCAGGGCCCCGAAGGACACGGGCUUUCACCGGCUUCACCCUGCAUGUCAAGUCCUGGUAAGGUUCUUCGCGUUGCGUCGAAUUAAGCCACAUGCUCCGCCGCUUGUGCGGGUCCCCGUCAAUUCCUUUGAGUUUUAGCCUUGCGGCCGUACUCCCCAGGCGGGGUGCUUAAUGCGUUUGCAACGGCACGGAAGGGGUUGAUGCCUCCCACACCUAGCACCCAACGUUUACGGCUGGGACUAC